CCUCCGACUAUCAAAAUAUCUUGCUCGUGGAUCGCGGGUUCCAUUUGGCUCUUCGUUGCCGAGAAUCGAAGCGUGAUGAAGAAGAGAAGUGGAAGUUUUGGAUGAAUGUGUGUUCUGUUUUUAUAGUGAAGGAUGGUUUAUGUAGUGAUUAAGAUCAAAAAGUUCAAAUUCCCAAUAAAAUAUAGGCAUAAAAAUGAAAAUUUUGUUCAACAAGUGACAGACACCUAGCUAUGUCUCAUAUUCGUGCUAAUUCAAUGCAUUCACUAGUGUUGGGCUCAAAAAAAUAAAAUGCAUUCACUAGUGUUACUGUUACCCCUAGUGGGGUACCCUAACUCUGCUUUUAUUUUAUUUUUGCAAUAUCUUUGCACAAAUUUUCUAUUUUAAUAUAUCCUUCUACAUCAAUACUUGAUACUAAUUCAAUCUCUGUUUGACAGAACUUACCGAUUUUUUUUAAUUUUGCAUUAUUUGACAUAAACCCUUUUAAUAUCCCUAUUGCAUUUAGAGCAGUAGUAAGGCAAGCUACGCCGCCACCAACUAUAUAAAAAUCCUGUUCAUGCCUCAAUUUGUCUCAUUCUAGUGUUGGAUUAGGAUUACUGUAUGAUUUUGACUUCUCAAUAGUUCCCGCAAUAACGAAACAAAUACAAAAUCCAAAUAAAUUGGAACUAUAGGCGAGACUUGAUCUGAUGCCUCAUUGGCGGACGCAACACAGAUUUUUUCUAACGAUGAGCAGUCACAACAAGAAUGCGAAUGCGAACACGAACAUGCUUCAAAAUGUCAAAAUUCUCAGCAGGAAAGCAAGAAAUCUACAAGAGUGAUUAAAUAUAUAUUGAGCAUACCAGUUCCUCAAGCAUCUGCUAAAAGCUUCACCUCCUUUGGCCCUCGACAUGUACCUCCGAGUGAUGUGUUCUUCGCCAAUCUCAUCGUAAUAAGGCCUAAUAAAUUUGUCAAAGAAAAGAUCAUCUCUGAAUGUAGCAACACUAUU
rnacentral:lncRNA from 1 species